UCAAGCGAUUAAGAGCUUACGACGGAUACCUUGGUGUUCAGAAGCGAUGAAGGGCGUGGCUACCAACGAAAUGUUUCGGGGAACUGGAAGCAAGUUUUGAUCCGAAAAUACCCGAAUAAGGAAACUUCGAGAACUACUUCUUGAAUUAAAUAGAGAAGAAAGAGCAAACCUAGUGAAUUGAAACAUCUUAGUAACUAGAGGAAAAGAAAGCAAAAGCGAUUCUCUUAGUAGCGGCGAGCGAAACGGGACCAGUCUAAACUUUAUAUAACUAUAAAGGGUUGUGGGACAGCUUAUUGUAAAGUGUAAUUGUUAGAUGAAGCAGAAUGAAUGCUGCGCCAUAGUAGGUGAAAGUCCUGUAGUCGAAAACUUAAACAUUUUAAAGCUUUAUCCCAAGUAGGGAGGGACACGUGAAACCCCUUUUGAAUUUGCGAGGACCACCUCGUAAGACUAAAUAUUCCUGAAUAACCGAUAGUGAACCAGUACCGUGAGGGAAAGGUGAAAAGAACCCCGGGAGGGGAGUGAAAUAGAACAUGAAAUCGUAAGUUUACAAGCAGUAGAAGAGCGACUUAACGCUCGACUUCGUGCCUGUUGAAGAAUGAGCUGGCGACUUGUAGGUUGUGGCAAGAUUAAGAUAAGAAAAUAUCGAAGUCAUAGUGAAAGCGAGCCUGAAUAGGGCUUUAAGUCAUAAUUUACAGACCCGAACCCGGAUGAUCUAACCAUGGCCAGUGUGAAGCUUAGGUAACACUAAGUGGAGGUACCAACCGACUGUUGUUGAAAAAACAGCGGAUGAGUUGUGGUUAGGGGUGAAAUUCCAAUCGAAUCCGGAGCUAGCUGGUUCUCCCCGAAAUGCGUUGAGGCGCAGCGGUUAAUGUUUUUUCUUAGGGGUAAAGCUACUGUUUUGGUGCGGGCUGCGAGAGUGGUACCAAAUCAAGGCAAACUCUGAAUACUAAGACAUUUAGUUAACCAGUGAGACGUUGGGGGAUAAGCUUCAAUGUCAAGAGGGAAACAGCCCAGAUUACUAGUUAAGGCCCCUAAAUAAUUGCUAAGUGGUAAAGGAGGUGGGAUUGCAUAGACAAUCAGGAGGUUUGCCCAGAAGCAGCAAUCCUUUAAAGAGUGCGUAAUAGCUCACUGUUCGAGUGAUCCUGCGCCGAAAAUGACUGGGACUAAGCAAUUUGCCGAAACUGUAAGAUGUUUAAACAUCGGUAGGGGAGCGUUCUACAUUAGUGAGAAGAAUUAACGAAAGUGGGUUUGGACAAAGUAGAAGUGAGAAUGUCAGCUUGAGUAGCGAAAACAUUGGUGAGAAUCCAAUGCCCCGAAAACCUAAGGGUUCCUCCGGAAGGCUCGUCCGCGGAGGGUGAGUCAGGUCCUAAGGUAAGGCUGAAAAGCGUAGUCGAUGGAUAACAGGUUAAUAUUCCUGUACUGUUUAUUGUUGGUAAAGGGGGACGGAGAAGGCUAGGUCGACCGAAUGUUGGUUAUCGGCUUAAGUAUUCGAGGUGUUGAGAAGCGGUGAAAACGUUUUGAGCUGAGAUAUGAAUAGGAGGUGCUAAGGCACUGAACCGACUGAUGUCAUACUUCCAAGAAAAGCCCUAACUACCAUAAGCAAUAAAUACCUGUACCCUAAACCGACACAGGUGGGUAAGUAGAGUAUACUAAGGGGCGCGAGAUAACUCUCUCUAAGGAACUCGGCAAAAUAGCCUCGUAACUUCGGGAGAAGAGGUACCCUUUAUGGGUUGCAAGAACCAGACGCUGGCGACUGUUUACCAAAAACACAGGUCUCCGCAAAGUCGUAAGACGAUAUAUGGGGGCUGACACCUGCCCAGUGCCGGAAGGUUAAGGGAGCUUGUUAGUCUUUGACGAAGCUCGUGACCGAAGCCCCGGUGAACGGCGGCCGUAACUAUAACGGUCCUAAGGUAGCGAAAUUCCUUGUCGGGUAAGUUCCGACCCGCACGAAAG
rnacentral:rRNA from 1 species